rfam:Macleaya cordata isolate BLH2017 scaffold9083, whole genome shotgun sequence.
AUACUUUCCUGGACAGGGUCAAUGGAUGAUCAAGAAGGUCCAUGGCCCAGGUUAGCAACCUAAAUUGCACUUGGGAAGGGCGAGUGCCUAAGAUCUCCCCAUGUGGAAGAGUCUACCAUCCACAUCAUAAUUUGUGGUAAAGGUGGUACGUCCCCUC